rnacentral:rRNA from 1 species
GAAUUGACGGGGGCCCGCACAAGCGGUGGAGCAUGUGGUUUAAUUCGAUGCAACGCGAAGAACCUUACCUGGUCUUGACAUCCACGGAAGUUUUCAGAGAUGAGAAUGUGCCUUCGGGAACCGUGAGACAGGUGCUGCAUGGCUGUCGUCAGCUCGUGUUGUGAAAUGUUGGGUUAAGUCCCGCAACGAGCGCAACCCUUAUCCUUUGUUGCCAGCGGUCCGGCCGGGAACUCAAAGGAGACUGCCAGUGAUAAACUGGAGGAAGGUGGGGAUGACGUCAAGUCAUCAUGGCCCUUACGACCAGGGCUACACACGUGCUACAAUGGCGCAUACAAAGAGAAGCGACCUCGCGAGAGCAAGCGGACCUCAUAAAGUGCGUCGUAGUCCGGAUUGGAGUCUGCAACUCGACUCCAUGAAGUCGGAAUCGCUAGUAAUCGUGGAUCAGAAUGCCACGGUGAAUACGUUCCCGGGCCUUGUACACACCGCCCGUCACACCAU